AUAUGAAGGAGUAGUAGCCAUGGGGAAAAGUCCUACCACUGAAUUAUUGUAUGACUGGGGAACCACAAACUGCACGGUCGGGGACCUUGUGGACAUUUUAUUAUGAAACCAGCUUCUUGCACCUGCUGACAUACUACUUCCAGGCUUCCACAACUUUACAUUCCAUGAACUGAUGAAGCUCACAAGUAACUUUGAUGAACGUCCAAUGUCCUCAGGUGGCAAUAAGCUUGGUGAGGGAGGCUUUGGAGUAGUGUACAGAGGCUGCUUCGACAACAAAGUAGUGGCAGUGAAGAAACUUACAACACUUUUCUUUUAUCUAGGUGCCAACAUGAAAACGUCGUAGAAAUGAUUGGUUUCUCUUCUGAUGGGGAUCAUCCUUAGUGUAUGCUUACAUGUCCAAUGGCUCUUUGCUAGACAGACUGGCCAGCCGGGAUGGUACAAGCCCACUGCCUUGGAGUACCCGGUGUUCCAUUGCUGUAAGUACAGCAAGAGGUAUUGAAUAUUUACACAGCAAGAAUCACAUUCACAGGGACAUUAAAAGGUUUUGCUGGAAAUAAUAUCAGGUUUUCCUCCAUUUGAUGAGAACCGUGAACCACAGCUACUGUUGGAUAUUAAAAAUGAAAUUGAAGACGAGGAGAUGACAGUAGAGGAUUAUGUAGACAAGAAAAUGGAAGAGUUUGAUGCCAUCAGUAGAGAAAAUGUAUGCAAUCGCUACUCAGUGUCUUAAUGAGAGAAAGACCAGAAGGCCAGAUAUGAAGCAGGUAAAUGGAUUGCUUGAAGACGUUAGGGCUGCUAAUUCCUGAAUGCAUUUUGAAUAAGACAACUAAACAUUAAGUAAAGCAAAU